UACGUAGGGGGCGAGCGUUGUCCGGAAUUACUGGGCGUAAAGGGCUCGUAGGCGGCCAACUAAGUCAGACGUGAAAUCCCUCGGCUUAACCGGGGAACUGCCUCUGAUACUGGUUGGCUUGAGAUUGGGAGAGGGAUGCGGAAUUCCAGGUGUAGCGGUGAAAUGCGUAGAUAUCUGGAGGAACACCGGUGGCGAAGGCGGCAUCCUGGACCAACACUGACGCUGAGGAGCGAAAGCCAGGGGAGCAAACGGG
rnacentral:rRNA from 1 species